CUUUCCUGCAUUUCAAGCAGCCUGGUUGGGGCAGACCAAGCUGCCCCUCUGUGUGACCAGGAGUCAGUACCUGUCCUUGCCGAGCCCUUCCACAGAGCCUCUGCAGCAAAGUGGGCACAAAGAGUGAAGGACAGUGAAGGUCAGCCUUUUGCUCGAUCCGUGUUUUCUCUGUGUAACAGCCUUGGGGGUUCUUUUGGAAAACAAAGCCUGAAGCUUUUGGGACAGCUCGUUCAUGAUGGGCCCGUGCUGGUGUGACCCCCAUGGGAGAUCUGAGGGAGCUGAGGGAGAGCACUCUAACAAAACAUGAGCAGGAGAAGGUGCAGUGAGCAAUUUGCUCGCGUGCAUCCUGCAGGAUCCUGCCUGGCUCUCCCUCACCUCUCCUGCCCUGUGCCCUGUGCUGUUAUCCCCUUCCCAGGAAUCGCCGCUCUCCGGCAUCGCUGCCACAUCCCACGGCACGAGUGGGAACACAGAGGCUCUGCUCCCAAACAGCGGCUCUCCUGCGCCGUGUCAGGCAAGAGCAAACCUGUCACCCACCUCGGGCACCCGGGCGCGUCUCCAGUGAUUUCCAGGGCGAGGCGAGCAGGAGAACCCUCCCACCGCGCUGCCCGGGGCGCUGCCUCCCUGUCCGCGGGCUCAGCUCCAGCCCUUGUUUUGCAGCGCGCACGUGGAAUUUUAUCACCUUCAACAAUGGAAUCUGUCACCUUCAAGCUGCCUUAUUGUAAUCUGGGGAUUUGUGCCCCGGCCCUGUAACAGGGGCUGGGCUCCUGCCACAGAGCACCGCGUCCCUCCCUUUGCCAUUGCUAACGCCUGUGGGCCGGCGGCGGGAACUUUAGGGACAUAUUUGGGCUUGUUUCCUCACCGGGAUCAGAUCCUUAAUUGAUCUGUCUUCUUUCCUUUCUCUCUCUUUGCCUCCUUCUGUCUCACGUGCAUCUCAAUCCCCGUCUUCUGAUCUGCUUCACCACCCCCUCCGGCUCGGAGAAUAAAUCCCAUCAGACCUGCGGUACAGCCAGGACGCAGGAGGGGAUCUGGCAUUUUAAAGAAGCAUAAGUACGUGUUUUAAACGAUGGCACCUUCAUGUUGCAUCAGGUACCCCCUCUGAUGAAGGGCUUGUCAACAUAAGAAAUCCCAGAGGAAAAAUGCCCACAAUGAGGAAUUCACAGAAAAUACAUCAGAGCACCUGUACUGAGAGGGAGAAGGUGGAGGAGCCUGUGUGCAUACCCUGCUUCCCCUGCUGUUACACAGAUUCUAAACACAGGUCUGAGCACAAGCUCGAUGGCAACUCUCAGCUCCGUCUGCCGGGGCUGCAGCUCCAACGCUCCUCACCAUCCUCCACCUUCUCCUCCAAAGUAACAAAGCCAUUGGAUUUCCUCCCACCCCUUCCCGCACUCCCCCUCCCCCUCGCUGGCACCGGGGUUAUUUAUACAGAAUGUGGAAACAAUUUGCAGGAAAGUGAACAAUGUAAGCGGGAGUGAGGGAAGGGAGACAAGUUUGUUGUGCACACUGAGAGCCCCAGUGGUGAAACGCUGCUUUUUGGGGGGCUGAGAGAACAGACUGUUUUCCUUUUUUCCUUCUCCUCUCUUUCACCAUCUCCCUCAGCUCUUUCCAUCUUGCCAGAGUUGGGUCCAAACCAGAGCAACCAGAUCUGAGUGCAUGUUUUGGAGGAGGUUCAGGUUGGAUCCCUCCCUGCAUCCCAGCCCCGUGAGGCGGUGUCUGUGUACUUAAUCCUCUCCAAGGUUCUGCUCUCCAUCGUUGCUGCUCCUGGAUUAGCAUUAAUGAGGAGCAUGUGUGCUCAGAGGUCCCGCUCCAGGCCCCCAGAGCUGCAGCACUGGGUUUAAACACAGCUACUCCGAGGAACAGUUCAGCUGAAACAGAACCAUUCCUGGGAGUGAACGAGGCAGGAACUUUUUGCAAAGUCUAAUUUCGGUCUUUCUCCCCUCACCCACUGAGCAUUAUGUUUUCAGGACAUCCCAGCACCUUGCUGGCUCCACUGUGACUGUCUGGGAAUCAGGGAGUUUACCUGAGUUCUGCUGGGGCUGAGGAAGCUGAACCAGCACUGACUCGGCACUCAGAGCAGAUCUGGGAUCUUCAGCUGGCACUCUGCACCAUGAAGUCCUCACAAAGAGGGUCUUGAGAUGAGAACAGAUUUGUAUUCCUCUCUUCCUGCUGCUCACUUACCACCCGAAAUCCUCGGCUGCUCCUUGCAGUUCCCACCACAACGGCGAGCGAUAUCCCGGGCGAGCGAUAUCCCGAGCGGAGCGUUCGAGCUCCAGGGAGACUCUGCAGAUCCUGUGGAGUGCAGGAGUCACGGAGAACAGAGACCGAUGAAAGAUGGCUCCAGGCUGGGAUUUUGGAGAGUGUCUACAUGGUGUUGUUUUCUUUCACUGCUCCAUUUCUAAAGAUAACUGCUCUGUGUUUGGAGAAGCUGUUCUGUCUUUCCAACCCCUCGACAGCAUGGGCUGCUGAACAAGAGCAUAGUGAAGGAAAGCAGCUGAUGAAAGAAAAGCUGUUCCUGUGGUAGGCUUCAGAAAAAUUGCUGCUUGUCUUCCCUCCCCCACAACGCUGAAUCCCAGCACCCCAGACUGUCGUGACUGCCGGGGAUUGGUGACAUCUCGAGUGACACGUGUUGGAGCAUCAAAACAGAGUGGGAGCAGCACAGCUUGGCUCCAGGAGCCAAAAAUAGGCAGUGCUUCCCAGAAUGUCCUGGCAGCCUGAGAAGUGGUGGACACCGCAAUGACACCCCAGAGGAGCAGCUGAGUGCUACUGAUUGCUGGAGUCCCCAAAUGCAGGUGACCAGCCCCCUGACCAGCCCCCAGAGCUGGAGAGGGAUGACUGUGUUCCAUAGCCCUUGGGAAGGGUGCCUUGGCCUCCUGUCAGUGAGUGCAGGGUGUUUGGGCUGUGUGUGUGUGUGUGUGGGAAUGGGGAGCACCUGCCACGUGCCAAGAACAAGGGGAGCGAAGGAUUCCCACCAUAUGAUCCCACAGUGAACUUUUGAUCCAUCAGCUCAUCUGAUCCACCUGAUCCAUCAGCUGGGCCUUUCAGGUAACACACAGGAAAGGGCUGUGCUGCUGUUGGUCCUGAGGUUUGUCUGUAAGGUGUGCUGGGCUCUGCAUUUUCCAGGCAUCCUCUGCUGCUGGUCUAAGGUUGUUUCUUUGGUUUUCCAAACCCAGAGGCAAAUGACUGUUUCUUUGUGCUAAGCAUCAGUUCUCUUCCUUUUUUUUUAUCCUUUCUCCUCUCCAUGGUUUUCCUCUCCAUUUUGAAUUCUCUCAGACUGCUGCAGUCUCACUUCCCUGAGACUUCCCUCCUGGCACAGACACCAGGAGAAAAUGUGAUGGUGUUUACAGAGCACUGGGACUUGGGAGAUGUGAAAUGUGGACCUGCUGCUCUACCUCUGGUGACUCACAACACCUUUCUGUGGUUCUGCUUUCCUGUCAGGAUAACCUGGACUAAAACCUCUCUGGGGAAAGGAUUUGCUUUCCCUGUGCGAUCCUACGGUGUCUAAUACAACAGGACCCAACCUCAGGAUGAAUUGCAGCUGGUUGCUGGUAAUCCUUGUGGCAUAUCAGAUAGCAGCGUAACUCGGCAAGGGUAAGGUGGAGAAACCCAAACAUCCUUCUGAGGAGGUAAUUAUUCCAUUGUGAAAAUGCUCCGGGAUAUUUUUAGUGGCCAAACCCCCUGUUUCCUGACAGAAACAUAAAAUAAUGAAGCAAGUUUCACAAGGAGAAACACUUCAGACACCUGUACCAGCCGGUGCUUUGCAGUCACGUCGGUGUUUAAUUCGCCGCGCGCAUCCCCGUGUCCCUGUGCACGGCCAGACCCACACCUGGCUUUGGGGCACUGUGGGCUGUGCCAGCGCCGCCUUGCAGAGAACCCUCUCCACCAACAAAUCUGCAAAUCCCGCUGGAUCAGGGGUAAUUUCACGGGAAUAUAGAGCUGCCUGCAACAAGAGGGACACCCUCGCCGCACGCACCGAGGUUAUCGAGGGAAACUUUCCUUAGCAGGAGUCAUACACCCGGUGUAAAAGCCUGGAUUUUUUGGGGAACAGAUGAUUUAAAACUAGUUUUAGAACAUUUUGCAACACGUUUUUGUGGGGAUGUACCCUCGUUUCAUGUCCCGCAGUGCCCCAGGGGUCCGGUUAUCUCCGGGUUACCUCGAGCACUGGUCCUACAUAAUUUAUGUCCUGAAAGAGACGAUUCAAUUAGUCAAUAAUAAAAUGAGCAAGGACAGCGUGUGCGUUGUAAAAAUAUAAUUUAGUGGGCAACAAGCUGAGAUGGAAAAAUAUAAGGGUACACUCCAUAUGAUUAAUGAAGGAGGAAUGUAUAUUUAUAGCUCUUAUUGUGUCCUUUGUAAGCAGAAGGAUCCGACAGUAGGACUGGAACCGGCUGGUAACGAUGUGGCAUUCCAAUGAUUGGGAUUUAAAUGGCAAAUGCUGUAUAAAACUAAUUACCCCCAGGAGGAUGAAAAUACAUUUCAUUUGCCUUUUCGGAGCAUGUUUGGCCUUUUCUUCGUUUAUUUACGCUCGAAAAACACGUUUAUUAGGAGGGGCGACAUCCCAGACGGAGCAGCGGAGUUACCCCCCCAAGAAAACAAGUUUCCACAAGUUAUUUUUACACAUUUAGCGCGAUUUUGGUUUCCUCGGUCGUAGUGGAUUGCGCUUCCCAGCAGCACACGGCGUAGGGAGUUCUCGCUUCCCACAUCCUCGGGCUCGGCACACAGCGAGGAUACCCGGAUUGGUGCCGGUUUGCUUUCCCCUGUUUUCACACGCGAAACACACACAGGUCCCGCAGCCACGCCGGGGCUGGUCCCGGAGAGGGGAAAACACAGAUUUACGGCGUUAAACCCCGGGAACUUUCGUGCCCCGAUCGCUUGAAGGGGAAAGGGGGGAGCCCCGACGGU